AGAGUUUGAUCCUGGCUCAGGAUGAACGCUAGCGGCAGGCCUAACACAUGCAAGUCGAGGGGUAGAGUUAGCUUGCUAACUUGAGACCGGCGCACGGGUGCGUAACGCGUAUGCAAUCUACCUUGUACAGGGGGAUAGCCCAGAGAAAUUUGGAUUAAUACCCCAUAGUAUAUUUGAAUCGCAUGGUUUAAAUAUUAAAGUUCCAACGGUACAAGAUGAGCAUGCGUCCCAUUAGCUAGAUGGUAAGGUAACGGCUUACCAUGGCAAUGAUGGGUAGGGGUCCUGAGAGGGAGAUCCCCCACACUGGUACUGAGACACGGACCAGACUCCUACGGGAGGCAGCAGUGAGGAAUAUUGGUCAAUGGACGCAAGUCUGAACCAGCCAUGCCGCGUGCAGGAAGACGGUCCUAUGGAUUGUAAACUGCUUUUAUACAGGAAGAAACAACUCUACGUGUAGAGUCUUGACGGUACUGUAGGAAUAAGGAUCGGCUAACUCCGUGCCAGCAGCCGCGGUAAUACGGAGGAUCCAAGCGUUAUCCGGAAUCAUUGGGUUUAAAGGGUCCGUAGGCGGCCUUAUAAGUCAGUGGUGAAAUCUCCUAGCUCAACUAGGAAACUGCCAUUGAUACUGUAGGGCUUGAAUUCUUAUGAAGUAACUAGAAUAUGUAGUGUAGCGGUGAAAUGCUUAGAUAUUACAUGGAAUACCAAUUGCGAAGGCAGGUUACUAAUAAGACAUUGACGCUGAUGGACGAAAGCGUGGGGAGCGAACAGGAUUAGAUACCCUGGUAGUCCACGCCGUAAACGAUGGAUACUAGCUGUUCGGACGCAAGUUUGAGUGGCUAAGCGAAAGUGAUAAGUAUCCCACCUGGGGAGUACGCACGCAAGUGUGAAACUUAAAGGAAUUGACGG
rnacentral:rRNA from 1 species